UCCUACGGGGAGGCAGCAGUAGGGAAUCUUCCGCAAUGGACGAAAGUCUGACGGAGCAACGCCGCGUGAGUGAUGAAGGUUUUCGGAUCGUAAAGCUCUGUUGUUAGGGAAGAACAAGUACCGUUCGAAUAGGGCGGUACCUUGACGGUACCUAACCAGAAAGCCACGGCUAACUACGUGCCAGCAGCCGCGGUAAUACGUAGGUGGCAAGCGUUGUCCGGAAUUAUUGGGCGUAAAGGGCUCGCAGGCGGUUUCUUAAGUCUGAUGUGAAAGCCCCCGGCUCAACCGGGGAGGGUCAUUGGAAACUGGGGAACUUGAGUGCAGAAGAGGAGAGUGGAAUUCCACGUGUAGCGGUGAAAUGCGUAGAGAUGUGGAGGAACACCAGUGGCGAAGGCGACUCUCUGGUCUGUAACUGACGCUGAGGAGCGAAAGCGUGGGGAGCGAACAGGAUUAGAUACCCUGGUAGUCCACGCCGUAAACGAUGAGUGCUAAGUGUUAGGGGGUUUCCGCCCCUUAGUGCUGCAGCUAACGCAUUAAGCACUCCGCCUGGGGAGUACGGUCGCAAGACUGAAACUCAAA
rnacentral:rRNA from 1 species